CUGAUUGUUUUUUAACCAAAACAUCUCAAAUAAGUGGCCGGCUAUGCAUAAAGCAGAAAAAAACUCUGGCGGCUUGCCUUGCCUCCGUUUACUUACUACAAGUUACAGGUAGUAUGUACGCCGGCUAAUUUCCUACCAUUAGGAAA
rfam:Pseudomonadales bacterium RIFCSPHIGHO2_02_FTLL_60_43 rifcsphigho2_02_scaffold_6144, whole genome shotgun sequence.